UCUGUCAGUCUAACUGCCGAACUGUCUAAUGGUCUAACCGAGAGAGAGUGGUAGUAGAAAGGGCUUGGAGGAGCCAGGGGACGGCAAGGGAUAGGGACUCUAGUGAAGGUCUCUGGGUUGGUGGGUUGGAUAUUGAGAGGUGGGUAGGAAGUGGUACACAACUCUGGUUAGCAAGUGUGACUCUUAUGUAUGAAUGCUGGAUGUGUAUGGUAUAUUAACAGAUCUUCAACCAGGGUGGUUGUUUCCUGUAAAAGGGCUAAGAGUCAGGGAACGCUUGUUGAAUCCAACACAGAGAGCCAGCGUGGUGUAUGAGAGCCAGCGUGGUGUAGUGGUUAGAGUGCUGGACUAGGACCGGGGAGACCCGAGUUCAAAUCCCCAUUCAGCCAUAAAACUAGCUGGGUGACUCUGGGCCAGUCACUUCUCUCUCAGCCUAACCUACUUCACAGGGUUGUUGUGAAAGAGAAACUCAAGUAUGUAGUACACCGCUCUGGGCUCCUUGGAGGAAGAGCGGUUUAUAAAUGUAACAACAACAACAACAACACAGGUGCCUCAGUGACAUAUAAGUAUAGCUCCUGUUAAAGGACUAAGUUUGAUACAGUGCUAUAGAAACCAUUAUGCUCGUACAGCCCUGCUUUGGAAGAGAGAAAGCUCUAAGCUACUGUACAUAAAUAAACUUAACCUUGUUUUAUUUUAAAGUUCACUCAGUGAGUCCUGUGAGUUCUACUCCACCCCACGCAGCCCUCAGUUAUGCUACCGAGAGAUUGUCAGGAUGCAAACCUAAGCAAGAAAAGCUUAGUGAAAGCUUUAAAAGGGAGGAAGAGAGAACAUCACUCUCCAUAAAACUGGUUCCCAAAGACAUAUGAUUAUUCGCCCCCCUAGUUUUGGGAACAGACCCCACUCAUUAGCAGUCUCAGAGUGGUGAGCAGGGUAUAUGGCUCAUCACAGGCUGGAAGAGACUCCUGCCUGAAACCCUGGAGUGGAGAGCCACUGGCAGUCAGUGUAGACAAUACUGAACUAGAUGGACCAAGGGUCUGACUUGGUGUAAGGCAGUUCCCUGUGUUGUAGAGAAUGAAGGGAAUGGAUUCAGAUUGGGUGGUUAUGGGAUUUUCUGAAUGGUCCAUAAGCCCAGGAUAGGUGCCAUAAAAACACCUGUUGUCUGCCUUCCUUCUCACAUUUCUUCAUCUCUUAUCACCACCACCACUUGGGUGAUCUGAACCUGAAGUUGCUCAGUAGUAUCACUCAGGAGUUCCUCUAUAGGACUCCUUAAUUCCAGUAGGACUGCAUAGGAGUAAUUUAGUCUGGACGCUGCCCAGACUAAAUAAUAUAUCUUUAUAUAUUUAGAUAUAUUUAUUAUAUAUCUAAAUAAUAAUAUGUUUAUAAAAUAUAUCUCUUUGUAGAAGCCAAUAUCCAGAUUAACCUUCCAUGGAUGCAACAGAUUUUGAGGGGAGCAGUGAUGAUUUAAGCAAUUCCCCCUGCAGCCACCUAUGUCUCCCAAAAACAUCUCCUUGAGGGUCCUCCAACUCUCAGACACCCUUUGGGAGGCAGAAGCAGUGGCAGUGGGGAAAGAAGAUUGCUGGAAAUCCUCCCUCCCCCAUUGCAAAAUGAAAGGCGGGGGGACCUGGCAUACUGGUGGAAGAUUUUUGUGGAAGAUGAGUCUAGGUGUCAACCAAUAUUUAUUAUAUCACAAAUCUAAUAAAUAAUACAUGGUUCAUAUAAUUAGAAUUGUUUUAAAUAUUUGUUUUGACGGUGGCACAUUCAGUACAGUUAAAUAGAAGAGCCAUCUCCUUAAACAUUUGCAUUGCUGCAGUUGUGUUCAGCAACCUUCUGUUCCCCUGUUCAUUGCUGCUGCUUGAAUAGUGUGCAAUGUAUGCAGAACAAAACAAUACUGUCCUACAUACAUGAAAAUUGCACAAUUGGAAGUUGCACAAGAGUAAACCCACUGGAAAUAAUUGGCAACUCUCAUUGCAUGAUUUUUGCAAACUGAAAACAUGCAGCAUUACUAGGCUGAUGUAAUGUUGUGCAGUAUGUCGGCCAAUAAUAAUAGUAGCAGCAAAAGCAACAAUUUUAUUGAUAGAGCCGCCCCAUAAUGAUUGUUCUCUGAGUGGCUCACAAACAAAACAGUAAAACCAUAAUAAAACAUACCAUUAAAACAAUAUAUUUAAAACAAAAACUAUAAAAACUUUAAAACUUAUAAUUCCAAAAAGCCUGAGUGAACAAAACAGUCUCCAGCUGCACCUAAGGUCCACAAUGAUGGUACCAGGUGAACAUCACUGGGGAAGGUGUUCAAUCAGUGGGGUGCCAUCACUGAAAAGCCCUCUCCCUAGUAGUCACCCACCUCACCUCAUUGGGCAGGGGCACUUGGAACAGGGCUUCUGUAGAAGAUCUCAAAGUCCAGGCAGGAACAUAUGGAAUUAGGUGCUUUUCAGGUAACCUGACUGCAAGCUAGGGCUUUAAAGGUUACAACCAGCGCUUUGACCUAGGCUUGGAAACAAACUGACAAAGCACUGGCAUGAUGUGAUCAAAAUGCCCAGUUCCAGUUAACAACAAAAAAAUAUUUAUAUACCACUUUUCAACAAAAGUUUCCAAAGCGGUUUAUAUAGAGAAAUAACAAACAAAUAAACAAACAAAUAAGAUGGAUCCCUGUCCCCCAAGGGCUCACAAUCUAAAAGAAAUGUAAGAUAGACACCAGCAACAGUCACUGGAGGCACUGUGCUGGGGGUGGAUAGGGCCAGUUAGCAGGGGGUAUCUUGCUAACCAUCUUAGCCUAACCAUCUUGACAGCCAUUUUUGGACUAAUGUAGUUUCCGAAACAUUUUCAAAAGCAGCCCCAUGCACAAUGCACUGCAGUAAUCGAAACACAAAGUGACCAGAGCAUCAAGACAGCAUGUAUGCAUUUGCAGUAAGUGCCAAAAAUAGCCGAACACGGGAGGCGCUUGUGCACAAAAAUAUACCCCAAAAUGUAGUAAGUUGGUUCAGCUCAGCCUGAGUUGCCAGGUCACUUCUGACCCACAGGGCCUUUUGGUCCAUCAGGAAGACAGUCUGUCUGUCUUCUUCAUUGUAAGGCCUGGAGACGAGUGGGGGGAGGCAUCAACUCUAAGUGCAGCUUCUUGACGCAUUGCUUAUUGGGCCUGGGUGAAGUUUUGGCCAAGGCCGAACACUCUCCACAGCCCCGCUGGCACCAUGUGCAGGAGACCGUUCUCACUGUGCAGGGCUGUGCUUUGCCCAGUGCUGUGGGACUCCUUUCAGGAGAAACAGAUCCCUCUUGAGCCCCUAUACCAUCUUGGAAGGUGUGCACAGUGUGCUGGGAAGUGUAGUCCUUCCUAAAGUUCCCCCCACAGAGCUCUUAAGAGAGGAGAUCUGUCUCUCUUAAAGGGCCCUCUCAGCACUGAGAAAAACGCAGGGCUGUGCGGAAAUCAGCACAGUGGGAAGUGGCUCUCACACUGAUGGUAUCUUGCCGAAGUGGUCCCCACUUGAAAAACAGCCAAGAUCACUGCAACAUGUGUUUGUCAAGGACGGGAAGAACACGGGAGAUCAAAAGAAGUCGUAGAAUUGUGAAUGAUGUUAUAAAGAUGUGUGGCAAGCCUCAUCAUUUAGGGGAAGACCCCAGAGAGGAAGAGGGGUGGGGGUGGGGGAAACAAUGACAUGGAGAACAACAAGGCCCCCAAAUCUAAUAACCGUUUGUGUCCUUUAGGUGAUAACAGACGCAAAUUUCAAGGGAAACCUUGGAGCUAAUGAAAGGCAGCCAAGUUAAGCAGCCAUGGAAAUGCCAGUGUAAAGAAGAAGGGGCCACCAAGCAGACACUAAUGGAAACUCAAAUCCCCAGAAUGAAAGUGGCAUGUUGGGAGUCCAGAGGGGGAGGAAAGAAGGGCCUGUGUGUGGUCUGCUCGGACAGUGGCGGGGCUCUGGAUUACCCAGCUGCCGGCUUGUCAGAAGCGGCCCUGUGAAAGAGGCAGAGCAAGUGACUGCCGCCACCGAGCUCUGACUAGGGAAAGCAGAUCCUGGAGACGGGGGGUGGGGAGGGGAAGGGAGGAACCCAACAAGUUGAGAGCGCAGGCCUUGACCCUUUCUGCUUUACAAAUGCUUUUCUUUCCAGAAGUGCUGACUGCGAGCCUUGGCUCCAUAAUGAAUUCAGCCACUGCUCCGCAAGAGCCCUGGCUGGCACUGACAGACCAUUUCCCGUCAAGCAGUGGAGAGAAAAUGGGAUUUCAGCUUUUCCCUUUUUUCAUGGAGAACAACAACUGGCUCUGUUCAACCCCAGCACGGCAUCACUCUGGUAACUGUGGCUGAUGUCUACUUUGUACUUCUUUUUGGACUGCGAGCCCUAAUGGAAUGAGGAACCACCACCACCACCACCUCCUCCUCCUCCUCCUCCUCUUAAAUUUGAAUUUUAAAAGACAUUAGACAUUGCCUAACUUGUCCUUUUAAUUUCAGUGGGACCACUCUGAGUAAUUUUCCUCAGCAUAUCACCCAUUGUUGUUCUUGUGGUUGUUACUCAGAGCCUCUCUAGACAAAUAGCUGAUCUUGUCUCAAAACAAUUCUUGGUAGGUACCACUUAAACAGCAGCUAGGAGAUUUCAUGGCUGAAUGCUACCUGACACACAUAUGCUUGCACACACACAUACACACACACGGCAAUAGAGCAUACAAUGUCUUCCCUAACCACCCAGUGCAUCAUCCCUGGUGGUGCCCUGCAUAUAAAUGUAAGAACAGAAUGCCCAACUGCCAUCCAAUCAUGCUGUUUAAAUCAACCAUAUGAUUAGCUGGCACUCAGAUAUUCCAUCCCUGUGCAUAGAAUAGAAAAGGCUUAUUGUUGUACCCACUGGUCAUAACACAAUGCAGCACAGCAUAGCAUAGCACAAGCAUAAAAACUAUUACAAACUACUACUACAAAUACUUAUAUACCACUUUUUGACAAAAUUUCUUGGAGGUUCAGAGAGAGAGAGAGAGAGAAAUACACACACACACAAUUUAAUAAAUAAAUAUGGAUACCUGCCCCCAAAGGGCUCACAAUCUCAAAAAGUAACAUAAGGUAGACCCCAGCAACAGCCACUGGAGGGAUGCUGUGCUGGGGAUGGAUAGGGCCAGUUGCUCUCCCCCUGCUCAAUAGAGAAUCACCACUUUUAAAAAGUGCCUCUUUGCUCAGUUAGUAAGGGACAUAAUGUAGAACUUUUUUAAAAAAAUGAAAUAAACCCAGUCAAGUAAUAAAAUACAAAUCAAAUUGUGGUGACCUUGAAUACCUGGAUGCAGUUAAAACUCUGAUAGACUAUAACACGUGAAUACAUGUGUUAGACGGUGUAGGGCUAAUCCUAAAACACAGGUGCGUAGCCAGGGGAGAGUGGGCUCCUGUUUGCCCCAGCAGCCCCUUGUGCACAUCAGCCAUGCCUCAGUGGGCAUGGCCAGCACCCAGAAGGGCCCACACGGCCCUGAAGAGCUCAUUUCCGAGCCGGAAAUUUGUUGGGAAUGAGGAAAUUUGAGAAUGAGGCAAGGCUGGAGCUGGCGGUGGGGACAGCCAGGUGACUCUCAGGAACUGGGCUGCUUGGGUUCUUUGAACCCGUCAGCCCAAUUGCAGCUCCACCCCUGCUAGAAUACAACUCAGCCAGAUGUCUGGAAGAUUUAGUGGAUAUGGAUUUCUAAAGUCAAUAAAGCAAAGAUGGCUGCUUGUUAGCUGGCAUAAGGAAUCCCAUCUGCGGGAAGGUAGUGUACACAUGUGUAGAUACAGGGAAAGCCAGAGUCAGCCAGAAAGGAGUGGUGUGCCAUCACUUCCCUUCACACAACGGGCUGACAUGUGGCAGCAAGCAUGAAUUGUCCCCUCUGCUAAGCAGGGUCCACCCUGGUUUGCAUUUGAAUGGGAGACUACAUGUGUAAGCACUGUAAGAUAUGCCUUAGGGGUUGGGCCUCUCUGGGAAGAGCACCUGCCUGCUUGCAUGCAGAAGGUUCCAAGUCCCCUCCCUGGCAUCUCCAGAUAGGACUGAGAGAGACUCCUGCCUGUAAGCAGAAGAAGGAGAACUGUGUAAACAAUACUGAGCUAGAUGGACCAAUGGUCUGACUCGGUAUAUGGCAGCUUCCUAUGUUCCUGUCCAAUCCAGUCCACCAAAAACUAGCAUGUCAAGAAGAAGGCUGGGGUAGAAUCUUCUCUCUGACAUCUAGUCUUCAACAUUCAAAGUAUUUUUGUAACAGGGGGUGGUCAUGCAGUCAUGCAUUCCCCCAGCUGCUGUCUGAAAUGGUACCACUGGGAAGUGUUUUGCCGUAUGACUGAGAGCCUCCCAGCCUUCUUUGCAUCAGUCCCUUCCUUCUUUCGGAAAGGAGCAGCACAGCACUGGCCUUGUGUGUUAUAAAUUGUGUCUCACUGGAAACAGACAAGUGAGAGGGACCCAAAUCAUUGAGCCACCAUCCAUCUUCCUCAGCAGGCUGUGAAAUGCCAAUGGGCCAGCCCUGGACCUAAUGAAGGGUGAAAUCCACAGACAGGGAGACCUUGUUUUAACUGAAAAAAUAAGAUGAAUUUGCUUUUCGUCUAUCCUGAGAAUCACACAGCAGGGGAAGCAACAUUUGAAGUCUUCAGACCUGAGCUCACUCUUAAACUUCUGAGAUGUGACCAGGAUUUAAACAGAUCCUCCCGUCCCAACCUCUGCAACCAUAAGGACUUGGACCUAACCAAGAGGACCUGAGAUCCUGCAGUUCACUCACUUCUGCCAUGAUCCUGCUAGCCCAGUCCGCAUGUCCACUCACCUUGGAUAUGUUGUGAACAGAGCCAUUGCCACUCAUCCUCAGAAGCCCCCACCACCCCCGCCCAAAUCUGCAUAUGAAAAUACAGUAAUAUCUCUGCCAUGGUAUGGUAAGGUUUACUAGGAUGCAUUAUAUGAAGCACAUUGAAGCGCUUCUCACGAUCGGUGGGAAGAGCUUCUUCUGGGUUUGUGGGGAGAGCAGGCUUAGCCCCCUCUCCCCACAGACGAUCAAAAGGCAGCCCUGGAUGGCUGGAUCGGGGGCCAUGGGGAUCGGGGGCCGCGUGGCCCCUGGAAGUUCCAGGAUGCCCUGCAUGAGCAUGUGGGGCCUCCUGCAGAGACCCCCGAGUCCUGGAGGCUGCUUGCAGCCUCCCAGUAGGGGGCCUACUUGUGUGCGAGAGAAAAAAUGAGGUUAACAGAGCACUCACUGUGUUAACUUCAUUUAAUGGGAGGUGGAAUUCGGUGGGCUAGCUGCCUUGGGAGCACCGGGCUCGCCUGCGAGCCCAGUGAUUCCCACGAUCCCUGGAAAUCAGGCUAAGCUCCCUUAGCCCAUAUUCCAGUGAUUGUAGGAAUAGCCUCAGUGAAUGGAAGAAAUGCUGGUCACAAUCCAGCAAAGACCUAAGCAUGCCUGAUGAGGUAGACCUUAAGGCAGGGGUUCCUAACCAUGGACAUUGUGGCUAGGGAUGAUGGGAGUUGUAGUCCAGCAAUAUCUGGGGACCCAAGGUUGGGAACGCUGCAUUAAGGGGCAAGGCCACUGAAAUGGGUGAGGCUACUGUGGGUCUAUAAUAAUAGCUUUUAGAUUUAUAUAAAUUUGAAACAUGAAUUAAGCCUGGGAGCAACUAGUUUCUCCUAUCUUCAGGAAAAGCUGACUGUUCAGAUUGCUGAUCUGUUGCUGUUAUGAGAAUCACGAAGCCACCUCCCUCCUACUGCUCCACCUAGCCAUGAUAUAUAGUGUUGAUUGGCUGUUCCUUGUGACUGUCAUUAAGGCACUCCUCCACAAACACACACCCAGUGAAUAGCAGGAGCUGCCCCUCACCCUAUAAAGAUCAACUGAAUGCCUGAAUGAAGCUCCCACAUAUAUAGCUAUCUGUUUUGUGGGCCCUACCCAUGCCAUUGGUAACAUCUAGGGAUCCCUCUUACAGGGAACACUGCUGGGGAUCCAAGGUUGGGAACCCCUGGACUAGAGGAGCAAGGGCAGAGGGAAGCCACAGCCCCCAAAACCCAGAUCCAUCCCUGGAGGGAGGCACAUCGGGUCUAACUCUGCCUUGGAUUAUGGUUGCUAAGCCUGAUGAUUACUUGUGAUGCAGACCAUCCAAUGCAGUAUAAUGCACUGCAUAAUAAGCUGCAAUUUGUCUGACUCAUAAGGUACAAUAUUAUGCUUUCUUUUUGGGGGGAGAAUGCCAAUUAAAUAUUUUUAAUUCUGAUAAGUAACCCCUGCUAACUUGGUAAAGAGGCACCUUCUAAUGUGGUCAUUUUCUUUAUUUAGCAGGGGGAGAGUAACUGGCCCUCUCCACCCCCAGCACAGUAAUUCCAGUGACUGUUGCUGGUGUCUGUCUUAUGUUUCUUUUAGAUUGUGAGCCCUUUGGGGACAGGGAGCCAUCUUAUUUUUAUUUGUUAUUUCUCUAUGUAAAUCGCCCUGAGCCAUUUUUGGAAGGGCGGUAGAGAAAUCGAAUAACUAACUAACUAACUAACUAACUAAAUAUGCAGUUUUAAACAAAAAAUGAGAGGGAAGGGUUGGGCAGGGUGUCUGAUAAAAUUGCUUCUAGAAAAGUCUCUGUUGUGCUGUUUCUAUUGCUUUGUGCUGUGUUUGCGCUCCAGAGUGCUGUUGGGUUUAUUCUUUUUGUGAUUUUAAUGAAUUGUAUGUCAUGUUUAGACUGCUUUGAUCAUAUUCGAGAGAGCAGAUGAUAACUAAAUUAAACGUUAAUAUGAAACACACGUCCCCUUAAACUUGGGCUUUUGCACCGUUUUCAUCCAUACCAA